UGAAUACGAGACGCUAAGGCGUUGAAGUAGUGUAUGUCAUACUUCCAAGAAAAGCUUGCACUGUCAUAGAUAAAAAACGCCUGUACCAUAACCGACACAGGUGGGUAGGUAGAGUAUACUAAGGGGCGCGAGAUAACUCUCUCUAAGGAACUCGGCAAAAUAACUCCGUAACUUCGGGAGAAGGAGUGCCUUAUUUAUAAGGCUGCAAUAACAAGAUCCAAGCAACUGUUUAUCAAAAACACAGGUCUCCGCUAAGUCGUAAGACGAUGUAUGGGGGCUGACGCCUGCCCAGUGCCAGAAGGUUAAAGAAGUUGGUUAGCUUUUGCGAAGCUGAUAACUGAAGCCCUGGUGAACGGCGGCCGUAACAAUAACGGUCCUAAGGUAGCGAAAUUCCUUGUCGGGUAAGUUCCGACCCGCACGAAAGGCGUAAUGAUUUGGAUACUGUCUCGGAGAGGGGCUCGGUGAAAUAGACUUGUCUGUGAAGAUGCGGACUACCAGCACCAGGACAGAAAGACCCUAUGAAGCUUUACUGUAACUUGAAAUUGAAAUUGGACUUUAUUCGCGCAGCAUAGGUGGGAGGCGUUGAUUAUAAUCUCGUGGGAUUAUUGGAGCCAUCAGUGAGAUACCACUCUUGUAAUGUUAGAUUUCUAACUUUGAAUCAUUAUCUGGUCAAAGAACAGUUUCAGGCGGGCAGUUUGACUGGGGCGGUCGCCUCCUAAACGGUAACGGAGGCGUACAAAGGUUUCCUCUGAACGGUUAGAAAUCGUAUCUAGAGUGUAAAGGCAUAAGGAAGCUUGACUGUGAGACCUACAAGUCGAGCAGGGACGAAAGUCGGUCUUAGUGAUCUGACGGUACUGAGUGGAAAGGCCGUCACUCAACGGAUAAAAGUUACUCUAAGGAUAACAGGCUGAUCUCCCCCAAGAGUUCACAUCGACGGGGAGGCUUGGCACCUCGAUGUCGGCUCAUCGCAUCCUGGGGCGGUAGUACGUCCCAAGGGUUGGGCUGUUCGCCCAUGAAAGCGGUACGCGAGCUGGGUUCAGAACGUCGUGAGACAGUUCGGUCCAUAUCCGGUGUAGGCGUUAGAAUAUUGAGAGGAGCCUUCUUUAGUACGAGAGGACCGAGAAGGACAUACCUCUGGUGUACCAGUUAUCGUGCCAACGGUAAACGCUGGGUAGCUAUGUAUGGAGUGGAUAACCGCUGAAAGCAUCUAAGUGGGAAGCCCACCUCAAGAUAAGUAU
rnacentral:rRNA from 1 species